rnacentral:tRNA from 2 species
GUCCCCUUCGUCUAGAGGCCUAGGACACCGCCCUGUAACAGGGGUUCGAAUCCCCUAGGGGACGCCA